GACCCUAUAGCUCAACUGGAUAGAGCAAUCGUUUCCUAAACGGUCGAUCCAGGUUCAAGUCCUGGUGGGGUCA
rnacentral:tRNA from 1 species